GGGAGGAGAGUGGGGAAAGGGGCACUCGGGCGAAAGCCUGAUCCAGCCAUGCCGCGCCGGUGAAGAAGGCCUUCGGGUUGUAAAGCACUUUAAGCGAGGAGGAAGGUUCGUUACUUAAUACGUAACGGAAUUGACGUUACUCCGCAGAAUAAGCACCGGCUAACUUUGUGCCAGCAGCCGCGGUAUAAAGAGGGUGCAAGCGUUAAUCGGAAUUACUGGGCGUAAAGCGCGCGUAGGCGGUUGUUGUAAGUUGGAGGUGAAAUCCCCGGGCUCAACCUGGGCAUUGCCUUCAAAACUGCACGGCUAGAGUAUUGGAGAGGAAGGUAGAAUUCCAGGUGUAGCGGUGAAAUGCGUAGAGAUCUGGAGGAAUACCGAUGGCGAAGGCAGCCUUCUGGCCAAAUACUGACGCUGAGGUGCGAAAGCAUGGGGAGCAAACAGGAUUAGAUACCCUGGUAGUCCAUGCCGUAAACGAUGUCAACUAGGUGUUGGGGAACUUGAUUCCUUAGUGCCGCAGCUAACGCAUUAAGUUGACCGCCUGGGGAGUACGGUCGCAAGACUAAAACUCAAAUGAAUUGACGGGGGCCCGCACAAGCGGUGGAGCAUGUGGUUUAAUUUCGAUGCAACGCGAAGAACCUUUACCUACUCUUGACAUCCAGAGAAUCCUGGUAGAGAUACGGGAGUGCCUUUCGGGAAUUCUGAGACAGGUGCUGCAUGCUGUCGUCAGCUCGUGUCGUGAGAUGUUGGUUUAAGUCCCGCAACGAGCGCAACCCUUAUCCUUAGUCCCCAGCACGUAAUGGUGGAACUCUAGGGAGACUGGCCGGUGACAAACCGGAGGGAAGGCGGGGACGACGUCAAGUCAUCAUGGCCCUUACGAGUAGGGCUACACACGUGGCUACAAUGGUCCGGUACAAAGGGUUGCUAGCCCGCGAGGGUCACGCCAAUCUCAAAAAGCCGAUCGUGAAGGUCCGGAUUGGAGUCUGCAACUCGACUCCAUGAAGUCGGAAUCGCUAGUAAUCGCGGAUCCGAAUGCCGCGGCGGUAACGUUCCC
rnacentral:rRNA from 1 species